AAACUACGAUUAGAUACCCUAUUAUUCUAAGAGUUAUAACGUAAGGCUGAGUAGUAAUAGUUAUGUUCUUGAAACUCAAAAAAUUUGGCGGUGUUUUAGUCUUAUCAGAGGAAUUUGCCCCGUAAUCGAUAGCCCUCGGUAACUUUACUUAGUUUUAUAUAGUUUGUAUACCGCCGUUGGCAGGAUAUAUUAGGAGAUUAUAUUCAGUAUUCAUAGAAGAAAGAUGACAGGUCAAGGUGCAGCUAAUAAUUAAGAGGAGGUGAAUUACAAUAUAAUUAUAUAAUACGAAUUUAAUGGUGAAACUGUUAAUGAAGGUGGAUUUGGUUGUAAUGAUAUUUAUUUAAGUNUCAUGAUAUAAGCUCUAAAAUAUGCACACAUCGCCCGUCGCUCUUAAAA
rnacentral:rRNA from 1 species